AUACAGAGGGUGCGAGCGUUAAUCGGAAUUACUGGGCGUAAAGCGCGCGUAGGCGGCUUAUUAAGUCAGAUGUGAAAUCCCCGGGCUCAACCUGGGAACUGCAUCUGAUACUGGUAAGCUAGAGUUUUGGAGAGGGAAGUAGAAUUUCAGGUGUAGCGGUGAAAUGCAUAGAGAUCUGAAGGAAUACCAGUGGCGAAGGCGACUUCCUGGCCAAAAACUGACGCUGAGGUGCGAAAGCGUCGGUAGCAAACGGGAUUAGAAACCCUAGUAGUCC
rnacentral:rRNA from 1 species